rnacentral:misc_RNA from 1 species
GAUGAAGAACGUAGCGAAAUGCGAUACGUAAUGUGAAUUGCAGAAUUCAGUGAAUCAUCGAGUCUUUGAACGCACAUUGCGCCCCCUGGUAUUCCGGGGGGCAUGCCUGUCCGAGCGUCAUUGCUGCCCUCAAGCACGGCUUGUGUGUUGGGCCUCCGUCCUCCUCCCGGGGGACGGGCCCGAAAGGCAGCGGCGGCACCGCGUCCGGUCCUCGAGCGUAUGGGGCUUCGUCACCCGCUCUUGUAGGCCCGGCCGGCGCUUGCCGACACAUCAAUCUUUUUUCCAGGUUGACCUCGGAUCAGGUAGGGAUACCCGCUGAACUUAAGCAUAUCUAUAAGCGGAGGA